rnacentral:rRNA from 1 species
AUUGAACGCUGGCGGCAGGCUUAACACAUGCAAGUCGAACGAGUGGCGGACGGGUGAGUAAUGCUUGGGAAUCUAGCUUAUGGAGGGGGAUAACUACGGGAAACUGUAGCUAAUACCGCGUACCAUAGGAUGAGCCCAAGUGGGAUUAGGUAGUUGGUGAGGUAAAGGCUCACCAAGCCGACGAUCUCUAGCUGGUCUGAGAGGAUGACCAGGCAACACGGGAACGGGACAAGGCCCAGAACCCCAAGGGAGGGAGCAGGGGGGAAUAUUGCGGAAUUGGGGCAACCCUACGGAGCCAUGCCGCGUGAAUGAAGAAGGCCUUCGGGUUGUAAAGUUCUUUCGGUAGCGAGGCGUUAACUACAGAAGAAGCACCGGCUAACUCCGUGCCAGCAGCCGCGGUAAUUC